GAAACCAAACAUAAACUGCUUGGUGUGCUGCUCACAAAGCUGUUGUGAUGUGUCGAUUUGAGUUCAUAUCACAGCCAGCUUUGAUGAGCGGCACACUAAGAUGAACUACAGAACUUCAAC
rnacentral:precursor_RNA from 12 species